GAAGUAUGUUGAAGUAUUCUAGGACAGCGACGGCGGUCAUGACCCUGUUCCUUAUAAAUGUCACAGUAAUUCUUGUUUCUUAUUUGCCUAUCUCCAUCUCAUUUCGUAGUCUUGUUGACUUUGGUCACUUUUCUGCUUGGGUCUCAAACGAUGAUGAUCAGGAAUAUAUUUGAAUAUACGUGUAUGCAUCCAAUAAUCUUCAUGUGAUAAUGGAUUAAAGUCACCGCUCCAAACAUUCAUA
rnacentral:lncRNA from 1 species